GUAAAAGUCGUAACAAGGUUUCCGUAGGUGAACCUGCGGAAGGAUCAUUAUUGAAUAAACUUGAACAGGCUGUUGCUGGUCUCUCAUCUGGAGGGGCAUGUGCACGCUUGUCAUCUUUAUUUUUCCAACUGUGCACAUAUUGUAGACCUGGAGCCUUGAUUCAUUUCGAGUUGGCACUGCAGUGCUUUCAACACAAAGCCUGCUUUGCCUUUUUGCAUCUCCAGGUCUAUGUCAUUUUUCACAAACUCGAACUGUGUUUAGAAUGUUGAAUCAGGUCUGGUACCUAUAAAAAGUUAAAUAUACAACUUUCAGCAACGGAUCUCUUGGCUCUCGCAUCGAUGAAGAACGCAGCGAAAUGCGAUAAGUAAUGUGAAUUGCAGAAUUCAGUGAAUCAUCGAAUCUUUGAACGCAUCUUGCGCUCCUUGGUAUUCCGAGGAGCAUGCCUGUUUGAGUGUCAUUUCAAGUUCUCAAACCGCAUCAAUGAUUUUUUUGUUGGUUGUGGCUUGGAUGUGGGGGAUUAUUCAUUUUGCAGGCUUUUUCCUGUCAAAGGAAGGAAGUCGGCUCCCCUGAAAUAUAUUAGUAGUAUCUGAGCUACUUACAGGUGUGAUAAUUAUCUAUGCCUUAAAAAGUAUGCUGCAUAAACAGAUGGCACUGCUUCCAACGAGUGAAACUUAGGAUUUCACGUUUGACGAAUUUGACCUCAAAUCAGGUAGGACUACCCGCUGAACUUAAGCAUAUCAAUAAGCGGAGGAAAAGAAACUAACAAGGAUUCCCCUAGUAACUGCGAGUGAAGCGGGAAAAGCUCAAAUUUGAAAUCUGGCGGUUCUUGAAUCGUCCGAGUUGUAAUCUAGAGAAGUGUUACCUGUGCUGGACCGUGUACA
rnacentral:rRNA from 1 species